ACCCCCGCCGCCAAAUCCGUCCUCAAGAACUCCAACACCAAGACGGCGUCCUCAUCCUCCCGCCAAAAGUACUCGUGCAUAAUAAUGAUGUUGGGGCAGUUUUGGAGGAUUUGUAACGCCUCGAUUUCGCGGAAGGCGGACUGGUAGUCGUGGAUUUCUUUAAGGGCAACGAUGAGGUUGUCAGAGAGGCGGCGGGCCUUGUAUACGUCGGAGUAAGCGCCGGAGCCAACUCGCUCUUGGAUUUCGUACUUGGCGAUGAUUUCGGGUCGGGUGUGUAUACUCCAGCUCUUGGAGUGGGAUGGUGGCGGUGGGUGGUCCAUGUUCUGGUGGUGGUGGCGUCGGCGGCGUUCGACUAUGGACUUCUCUUAUUUAUCUGGGUUUUGGAGGUGCGGGGUCGCGAUGACAACUCCGGCUGGGGAUAGAGUUUUCUUCCUUAAUUACAUUUUACAUUUUCCUUUGUGUCUCU
rnacentral:misc_RNA from 1 species